UCCCUGGUGGCUAAGAUGGUAAAGCGUCUGCCUACAAUGUGGGAGAUCCGGGUUCAAUCCCUGGGUUGGGAA
rfam:Ovis aries breed Texel chromosome 5, whole genome shotgun sequence.